GACUAUUCCUUUAACCAUUAACUUCCAUAGUAGGAAUAAAAACAACAUAAUGGGAUUAAAUGGAUUGUGUGCUUACCAUCAUUUAUCAAAAUAUCUUCUUUUGUGUUUAUUAAAAUAAAAUACAGGUUACGACCAACAUAUGGGUGAGUAAAUGAUGACAGAAUUUUAAUUUUUGAGUGAAUCCCUUUUACAGACAGUAAAUCAGAUGUAAGAAAUACAGUAGAAAGAUUUAAAAUUCACCCUUAUUAUGUCUACAUAUAAUGCGAUAAAAAGAUUCAUUUAUGCUUUCUUGAUACAUGAUUACACGUCAUUUUCUUUUAUGGACUAUGGACCCCCUAAAGUACCUUUGGCCACACCCUGGCCACCCCAUUAAAAAAAUUCUAGUUCUGCCACUGGGUGGCUAAGAACGAUGACGUUGAGGUCGUGCGUCAGUUUGAGGUGUAGUUCAGUAAUGGCAGCGGAGAAAGACGUGAGAAAAGCUAAUCGGUCCGUUGUUGCAAAACUGCCGAAUAUACAGAAGUUAAAGCCGGAGCAAGAACCAGGUUUGCUAACUUUUAUUUGUCUGAUUAUUCUGACUUGUUGUUUCCGGACGGUUUCGGUGCAUGAUAUACGUCACGACCACAUGUUAGCGAUUGGCUUUGGCAGUCCUGAGUGACUCUGGGUAGAUCCAAUAGUUUUAAACUUCAACAAUGGACCCUCCUUAACGGAAGUAACGCUUUGCUAUGGAGCGUGGCCAGACUCUCUGUACAAAUGAAAUGAAUGUACGAGAUAGUCUGGUUAUACCAGGUUAAUGAUUACGUCCAGGAAAUGGGAUAUUUAUCUUUUACUUCUCAGCGUGAGAAAUACAAGGUGUGGAGUGUGAGUGUGUGAACUUACUGAAAUGUGUGUUUCUCACGGUCAAUGCGUGAGAGAGCCCUGUGUAUAUUAAUAGGGUUACUGACUAAAAAAUAGUGACUAAACACGACCCAAUAACACGACCCUCGUGACAAAAUCACCAUACAUUUACAUUUAAAAGCUGAUAUAACAUUACGAGGUGAUUUUGGCUACAUUACGUGUCUCAUGCAGUAGCUUUACCGUUGCUCUUCUCGUCUGGUUGUGUUAUAAACGCUUUUAAAAGUAUUAUUGUAGAUUGCGUAUAUAUAAAAUACGAGAAUAAACACUGCCAACUUUUUUCUUUCCCUCAAGUGCCAUGUGUGAGAGCCUGAGGCGCUGUCGAGUGCUGCACGAUGCAGCAUGAGAGAAAGCACGCGCACACGAGAGAGGCGCCGCUGAGUGCUCGACACAAUGAAUAAAGCCGUUUUAAUACAUAAAGAAAAUGUAUGACAAUGUAUAACAAAAAUAUAACAAUGUAUGGGAAACACUGGAUGAUGAGUCUGACAUGAAAUUUAAGGUCCCAUAUGAAAUUUAAGACCUCCUUAGUGGAAAUUCCAGAUUUUAAGGCAUUUUCAGACCUUAAAAAUCCAAAAUUUUAUUUAUGACAUUUCAAGACUUUUUAAGGACCCGCGGGGACCCUGUACAAUAUAAACUUUACCUGUUAUAAAAUAAAUAAAUUACAAUAUGAACACACAAAACUUCAAUUUUCAAAAUGUUUUUAACAGUAAAUUAUGAUUAUUUUAGUCUCUUACCUGUUUGUGUUGUUAGUCUGUAGGUGGUUCAGCAGGACUGAUGAUUCAGGGCUUUCACAGGUGAAAAUAAUCAGGAGGCAGUUUGAAAAUAAUUGACUAUAUUUAAAAUCAAGAAAGGCAGGAACUGAAGAACCCUUUUUGUCAAGACAAAGAACCAUAUCGGCAAAAAAAUAGUUCUUCAGUAAGCUAUGGUUCUAUAUAGAACCUUCACCAUCAUUUCAGAACCUUUGAAGAACCAUAUUUCUUAAGAGUGUAGCUUUAACGGAACUUAUUAAAGAAAUGAAACUGUAAACCCCAGUGUUGCCCUUACUAAUUAAUUCAAGUUAUCACAACUUGAUAUUACUUAAAAUAUGAAGUUUUAGCAUCAGAACUUAAACAGAUGUGUUUAUUGUACUCAUUUAGCAACAAAAAUCGUUUGAAUUAAAAUGUUAAGUGCUAUCAACUUAAAUUAUUAAGUUAAUAAUUUGCUGUAGCUGUGUAAUUUAAUUGGUCAUGAAAAUCCGCAUUCAGCGUUGAUUGGUCAAUUCUUGACGCAGCAGCAAGCCUGACUGAAGCAAAAGAAGAGCCUGGACUAAAACUGGGUAAGUACAGAGAAUAAAACGCAUAUAUAAACUUUUCUCAACUGCUUUUACAUGAUUUAUUUUGAUGUUAUUUGCAAUGUAUACACCUGUACUGUUUUACGUUGGCAGCAACAUUAAAGGCUAGUCGUCCCAUAACGCAGUCAGUCAAGAUAUUCGUUGAGAGACACAGUAUGCUGGUAGGUUGCUAAAUAAUACUUGUGUAAAUUAUUCUUAGUUUUAUUUUAUAGUGGCCAUUUUAAAUAAGUUUAUGUUGCUAACUUUCCAUCAGAACAAUUGAAUUUGCCGCUCAAGUUUAACAAACAACGUUUCUUCCACAGCAGCACAUGCAUCAACUAAAUAAUACUUGUUUAAAUUAUACUUAGUUGGCUUUUACAGUGAUUGGUAGAUUAUAAACACACAUAAGUUCCUAACUUUAAGAACAUCUGAAUUUCCCGCUUAUGUUCACGUUUUCCUCACACAGGCUCAAGCAUGCGGGGAUCCGAUGGAGAGACAUAUUGGACAAACACUGCGCAGCCAGCUGUCAGGUGGGGAUCCGGUGAAGAGAGUCGGUGAUCAUCAUGAUAAAUGCCCCUGAAGUACCCAGAUGAUCAGUGGGGAUUCUAAUAGUUGAAGAUGGGAUGACUCUGCAGCCCCUCAGCAGUCUGCAUUUGUAUAGUAUAGUAAUUGAAGGGAAAAUGGUGAUUGACAAUCUAUGUGACUGAGUCACUGAGGUACACAUUUGAAUUAUUCAGCGCCUUCUACUUUCCAUAGGACAAAAAGACCUGCACCCUAAAUACAAACCUUGGCAAACCAGCUGUUUGGUUAAAUUAAAUGUAAUAGACAGAUUUACAUGUUAAAGAUUGUUAAUGUGUCUUUUUAAAAUGGGACCAUUGAAAAUAUGAGCUUACUGUAGUGAGCAUGGUUUCUGUAAAAAAUUAAAUUGAUAGUUCACUGAAAAAUAAAAAUUCUGUCAUCAUUUACUGACUCUCAUAUUGUU